GAUGAACGCUGGCGGCGUGCCUAAUACAUGCAAGUCGAGCGAACAGACGAGGAGCUUGCUCCUCUGACGUUAGCGGCGGACGGGUGAGUAACACGUGGAUAACCUACCUAUAAGACUGGGAUAACUUCGGGAAACCGGAGCUAAUACCGGAUAAUAUAUUGAACCGCAUGGUUCAAUAGUGAAAGACGGUUUUGCUGUCACUUAUAGAUGGAUCCGCGCCGCAUUAGCUAGUUGGUAAGGUAACGGCUUACCAAGGCGACGAUGCGUAGCCGACCUGAGAGGGUGAUCGGCCACACUGGAACUGAGACACGGUCCAGACUCCUACGGGAGGCAGCAGUAGGGAAUCUUCCGCAAUGGGCGAGAGCCUGACGGAGCAACGCCGCGUGAGUGGUGAAGGUCUUCGGAUCGUAAAACUCUGUUAUUAGGGAAGAACAAAUGUGUAAGUAACUAUGCACGUCUUGACGGUACCUAAUCAGAAAGCCACGGCUAACUACGUG
rnacentral:rRNA from 1 species